UAACUUUGCCAAAUGGAACCUUUCCUUUCCUCUGAAUGUUACGCCAUGACCCAGACACCUGCAUCAACUUGGCCUGAUUGCCCUCAAUCGGGAAGUAAAAGGACUCCUGAGUCUCACACUCAAGGGGAGGAACCUCCAUAGCAAAUCCCAUCUGUCUCCUAAGAAGCGUUGGGUUGUAAUUAAUGCAACCCUGAACUCCUAUGAGAGGCACAUUGGG
rnacentral:lncRNA from 1 species